CUUCCAGUAGCACCUUAGAGGCCAACUAAGUUUGUUAUUGGUAUGAGCUUUCGGUAUCUGAAGAAGUGUGCAUGCACACGAAAGCUCAUACCAAUAACAAACUUAGUCUCUAAGGUGCUACUGGAAU
rnacentral:miRNA from 1 species